GGUCUGAUGGUCUAGUGGUAGGAUUCUCGCUUUGGGUUGAAUUUUCUCUGCCUUAAAUGCGAGAGGUCCCGGGUUCAAUCCCCGGUCAGACCC